GAUGAACGCUGGCGGCGUGCUUAACACAUGCAAGUCGAACGGAAAGGCUCCUGCUUGCAGGGGUACUCGAGUGGCGAACGGGUGAGUAACACGUGGGUGAUCUGCCCUGCACUUCGGGAUAAGCCUGGGAAACUGGGUCUAAUACCGGAUAGGACGAUGGUUUGGAUGCCAUUGUGGAAAGUUUUUCGGUGUGGGAUGAGCUCGCGGCCUAUCAGCUUGUUGGUGGGGUAAUGGCCUACCAAGGCGUCGACGGGUAGCCGGCCUGAGAGGGUGUACGGCCACAUUGGGACUGAGAUACGGCCCAGACUCCUACGGGAGGCAGCAGUGGGGAAUAUUGCACAAUGGGCGCAAGCCUGAUGCAGCGACGCCGCGUGGGGGAGGACGGCCUUCGGGUUGGAAACUCCUUUCGCUAGGGACGAAGCGUUUUGUGACGGUACCUGGAGAAGAAGCACCGGCUAACUACGUG
rnacentral:rRNA from 1 species